rnacentral:rRNA from 1 species
UACGAAGGGUGCAAGCGUUACUCGGAAUUACUGGGCGUAAAGCGUGCGUAGGUGGUUCGUUAAGUCUGAUGUGAAAGCCCUGGGCUCAACCUGGGAAUGGCAUUGGAUACUGGCGACCUAGAGUGCGGUAGAGGGGUGUGGAAUUCCCGGUGUAGCAGUGAAAUGCGUAGAUAUCGGGAGGAACAUCUGUGGCGAAGGCGACACCCUGGACCAGCACUGACACUGAGGCACGAAAGCGUGGGUAGCAAACAGG